GAGAGUGUAGCUCAGUGGUAGAGUGCAUGCCUAGCAUACACCAUGUCCUGGGUUCAAUCCCUAGUACCUCCA
rnacentral:tRNA from 1 species